UUAGCACAUGCCACGUAGACUCUCCAUUCUUCAUUGACUCACCAUCACUGUGUCACAUUCUUCACCUCACUCUCAUGUUCAACCGUUAACACAAACAAUACUUGCAACCAAACUAUAGAUACGUUAUAUGCUGUUAGAAAAGAAGCAAAAAGUUUCGUUGCUAAAUUUGGCGAAAAGCCUCUUGCAAAACAAGGACCGUUUGACCGCAAGUUAUCCGGCGAAGACUGGCGGAACCAGCUCAUGAUUGAAUUCUCCAUUCGAAACCCUAGCGCCUUCAUAAUCUACUCACCGGACACAAUUCAACGGUUACAUAACCGUAUUUCAAUGCUGCAAGUUGAGUUGACUGAAAAUGAGGCGCCGUUUGGGAUGCCGAGGUGGUUUAUGAGCCGGUUACGAGUUUGGAGGAAGGAUUUAGCACGGGAUAUACUAUUUCUUGGUGGAAGGUGAGCUUCAAGUCUUCAACAGCUGUUACCGAGUCAUGAUCCGUUGGUAUGUCAAUAUUAUGUUUGUCAAUUUAAUCUGCUGUAUUUAUGUAUUAUUUGUUGAAUGCUGUUUAUCCAUCCAGGCUUUAGCAGUUCUUUUUCA